rnacentral:rRNA from 1 species
UACAGAGGGGGCUAGCGUUAUUCGGAAUCACUGGGCUUACAGAGUUCGUAGGCGGUCUGGAAAGUUGGGUGUGAAAUCCCUCGGCUCAACCGAGGAACUGCGCUUGAAACUACCAGACUCGAGGGAGAUAGAGGAAAGCGGAACUGAUGGUGGAGCGGUGAAAUGCGUUGAUAUCAUCAGGAACACCGGUGGCGAAGGCGGCUUUCUGGGUCUUACCUGACGCUGAGGAGCGAAAGCGUGGGGAGCGAACAGG